UACGGGGGGAGCAAGCGUUGUUCGGAUUUACUGGGCGUAAAGGGCGCGUAGGCGGCCAGCACAAGUCAGUUGUGAAAUCUCCGAGCUUAACUCGGAAAGGUCAACUGAUACUGUGCGGCUAGAGUGCGGAAGGGGCAACUGGAAUUCUCGGUGUAGCGGUGAAAUGCGUAGAUAUGACAUAGAACACCCAUUGCGAAGGCAGCUAACUACGCGAUCAUUGACGCUGAUGCACGAAAGCGUGGGGAUCAAACAGG
rnacentral:rRNA from 1 species